rnacentral:ncRNA from 1 species
UGGCAGCAGCCCAUGAUCUAGUCAAAGAACAACUUGACUUGGGUCACAUCCAACCUUCUACUUCUCCAUGGAAUACUCCCAUAUUUGUUAUUAAGAAAAAAAUCAGGAAAGUGGUGCCUACUGCAUGAUCUACGAGCAGUUAAUGCUCAAAUGCAACUUAUGGGGCCCAUUCAAAGAGGGCUGCCUCUGCUCUCCUCUGUUCCUUAGGGUUGGCAUAUUAUUGCUAUUGACAUUAAAGACUGUUUCUUUUCUAUUCCUUUGCAUCCUAAAGACUCACAGCGUUUUGCCUUCAC